GACGUAGGGGGCCAGCGUUGUUCGGAAUUACUGGGUGUAAAGGGUUCGUAGGCGGUGUGGCAAGUCGGGAGUGAAAUUUCUGGGCUCAACUCAGAGACUGCUUCCGAAACUGCUGUGCUUGAGUGUGGGAGAGGCGCGUGGAAUUGCAGGUGUAGCGGUGAAAUGCGUAGAUAUCUGCAGGAACACCCGUGGCGAAAGCGGCGCGCUGGACCACUACUGACGCUGAGGAACGAAAGCUAGGAGAGCAAACAGG
rnacentral:rRNA from 1 species